UGGGGAAUAUUGCACAAUGGGCGCAAGCCUGAUGCAGCCAUGCCGCGUGUAUGAAGAAGGCCUUCGGGUUGUAAAGUACUUUCAGUCGGGAGGAAGGUGUCAAGGUUAAUAACCUUGGCAAUUGACGUUACCGACAGAAGAAGCACCGGCUAACUCCGUGCCAGCAGCCACGGUAAUACGGAGGGUGCAAGCGUUAAUCGGAAUUACUGGGCGUAAAGCGCACGCAGGCGGUUGAUUGAGUCAGAUGUGAAAUCCCCGGGCUUAACCCGGGAAUUGCAUCUGAUACUGGUCAGCUAGAGGCUUGUAGAGGGGGGUAGAAUUCCAUGUGUAGCGGUGAAAUGCGUAGAGAUGUGGAGGAAUACCGGUGGCGAAGGCGGCCCCCUGGACAAAGACUGACGCUCAGGUGCGAAAGCGUGGGGAGCAAACAGG
rnacentral:rRNA from 1 species